AUACGGAGGGUGCGAGCGUUAAUCGGAAUUACUGGGCGUAAAGCGUACGUAGGCGGUUGGUUAAGUUAGAUGUGAAAGCCCCGGGCUUAACCUGGGAACUGCAUUUAAAACUGGCGAACUAGAGUUGAGUAGAGGGGAGUGGAAUUUCAGGUGUAGCGGUGAAAUGCGUAGAGAUCUGAAGGAACACCAGUGGCGAAGGCGACUCCCUGGACUCGAACUGACGCUGAGGUACGAAAGCGUGGGUAGCAAACGGAAUUAGAAACCCCGGUAGUCC
rnacentral:rRNA from 1 species